rnacentral:rRNA from 1 species
UGCAGUCGAGCGAACUGACGAGGAGCUUGCUCCUUUGACGUUAGCGGCGGACGGGUGAGUAACACGUGGGUAACCUACCUAUAAGACUGGAAUAACUCCGGGAAACCGGGGCUAAUGCCGGAUAACAUGUUGAACCGCAUGGUUCAACAGUGAAAGACGGUCUUGCUGUCACUUAUAGAUGGACCCGCGCCGUAUUAGCUAGUUGGUAAGGUAACGGCUUACCAAGGCGACGAUACGUAGCCGACCUGAGAGGGUGAUCGGCCACACUGGAACUGAGACACGGUCCAGACUCCUACGGGAGGCAGCAGUAGGGAAUCUUCCGCAAUGGGCGAAAGCCUGACGGAGCAACGCCGCGUGAGUGAUGAAGGUCUUCGGAUCGUAAAGCUCUGUUGUUAGGGAAGAACAUAUGUGUAAGUAACUGUGCACAUCUUGACGGUACCUAACCAGAAAGCCACGGCUAACUACGUGCCAGCAGCCGCGGUAAUACGUAGGUGGCAAGCGUUAUCCGGAAUUAUUGGGCGUAAAGCGCGCGUAGGCGGUUUUUUAAGUCUGAUGUGAAAGCCCACGGCUCAACCGUGGAGGGUCAUUGGAAACUGGAAAACUUGAGUGCAGAAGAGGAAAGUGGAAUUCCAUGUGUAGCGGUGAAAUGCGCAGAGAUAUGGAGGAACACCAGUGGCGAAGGCGGCUUUCUGGUCUGUAACUGACGCUGAGGUGCGAAAGCGUGGGGAUCAAACAGGAUUAGAUACCCUGGUAGUCCACGCCGUAAACGAUGAGUGCUAAGUGUUAGGGGGUUUCCGCCCCUUAGUGCUGCAGCUAACGCAUUAAGCACUCCGCCUGGGGAGUACGGUCGCAAGACUGAAACUCAAAGGAAUUGACGGGGACCCGCACAAGCGGUGGAGCAUGUGGUUUAAUUCGAAGCAACGCGAAGAACCUUACCAAAUCUUGACAUCUUUUGACCGCUCUAGAGAUAGAGUUUUCCUCUUCGGAGGACAAAAUGACAGGUGGUGCAUGGUUGUCGUCAGCUCGUGUCGUGAGAUGUUGGGUUAAGUCCCGCAACGAGCGCAACCCUUAAGCUUAGUUGCCAUCAUUAAGUUGGGCACUCUAAGUUGACUGCCGGUGACAAACCGGAGGAAGGUGGGGAUGACGUCAAAUCAUCAUGCCCCUUAUGAUUUGGGCUACACACGUGCUACAAUGGACAAUACAAAGGGCAGCGAAACCGCGAGGUCAAGCAAAUCCCAUAAAGUUGUUCUCAGUUCGGAUUGUAGUCUGCAACUCGACUACAU